AGGCGGCGCGGCGGGUCGGUGCGGAGACCCAGUGCAGACGCCAGGCGGCUGCCGGCGCGCUCGGCGCUCCCUAGCUCCCUCCCCCCCGUGCACAGCCCGCCUCCUUCCGCGGCGCCUGCAGCCGCGGGCUUGCUCUCCCCUCCCGAGAUUCGCUCCGGGAGACGCUCCGUGGGUCGCGGGCACAGAGUCCGCGGCGUGGGGAUCGCGAGGCCGAGGCGAACCGCCAGCGGUAGCCGGCCCCGAGCCAGCGCCCCGGGCGCGUUCCUCCCCACGGCCGGCGCCCGGUACGCAGUCCUUUCGCCCGGGCCAUCGCUCCCGCUCCCCGGCGCUGAGACGUCCGCUUCGUCGCCUCCCCGCCCGGUGACCGAGGCCGGAACCCAGCUAGUUGUUCACUGAGGCCGGUCGUCGCUGCUGAGUGGAAACAAAAUGUCAGUCAGUGUGCAUGAGAACCGCAAGUCCCGGGCCAGCAGCGGCUCCAUCAACAUCUACCUGUUCCACAAGUCUUCCUACGCCGACAGCGUCCUCACUCACCUGAACCUUCUCCGGCAGCAGCGCCUCUUCACCGAUGUCCUUCUCCACGCGGGAAACAGGACCUUCCCUUGUCACCGGGCCGUGCUGGCUGCCUGCAGCCGCUACUUUGAAGCCAUGUUCAGUGGCGGCCUGAAGGAGAGCCAGGACAGCGAAGUCAAUUUCGACAACUCCAUCCACCCAGAAGUCUUGGAGCUGCUUCUCGACUACGCGUACUCCUCCCGGGUCAUCAUCAAUGAAGAAAACGCAGAAUCGCUCCUGGAAGCUGGCGACAUGCUGGAGUUUCAAGACAUCCGGGAUGCCUGUGCCGAGUUCCUGGAAAAGAACCUGCAUCCCACCAACUGCCUGGGCAUGCUGCUGCUGUCCGACGCGCACCAGUGCACCAAGCUCUACGAGCUCUCCUGGAGAAUGUGUCUCAGCAAUUUCCAAACCAUCCGGAAGAACGAAGACUUCCUCCAGCUGCCCCAGGACAUGGUGGUGCAGCUCUUGUCCAGCGAAGAGCUGGAGACGGAAGAUGAAAGGCUCGUGUACGAGUCUGCAAUUAACUGGAUCAGCUACGACCUGAAGAAGCGCUACUGCUACCUCCCCGAGCUGCUGCAGACGGUGAGGCUGGCUCUCCUGCCAGCCAUCUAUCUCAUGGAGAACGUGGCCAUGGAGGAACUCAUCACCAAGCAGAGGAAGAGCAAGGAGAUUGUGGAAGAGGCCAUCAGGUGCAAGCUGAAGAUCCUGCAGAACGAUGGCGUGGUGACCAGCCUCUGUGCCCGGCCUCGGAAGACGGGCCAUGCCCUCUUCCUCUUGGGAGGGCAGACUUUCAUGUGUGACAAGCUGUAUCUAGUAGACCAGAAGGCCAAAGAGAUCAUUCCUAAGGCCGACAUCCCCAGCCCCAGAAAAGAGUUCAGUGCGUGUGCCAUUGGCUGCAAAGUGUACAUUACUGGGGGGCGGGGGUCUGAAAACGGAGUCUCGAAAGAUGUCUGGGUUUACGACACCCUGCAUGAGGAGUGGUCCAAAGCCGCCCCCAUGCUGGUAGCCAGGUUUGGCCAUGGCUCUGCUGAACUGAAGCACUGCUUAUAUGUGGUCGGGGGGCACACGGCCGCAACUGGCUGCCUCCCAGCCUCCCCCUCAGUCUCUCUGAAGCAAGUAGAACAUUAUGACCCCACGACCAACAAAUGGACCAUGGUGGCCCCACUCCGAGAAGGCGUCAGCAAUGCAGCAGUAGUGAGCGCUAAGCUCAAGCUGUUUGCUUUCGGAGGUACCAGCGUCAGUCAUGACAAGCUCCCCAAGGUCCAGUGUUAUGAUCAAUGUGAAAACAGGUGGACGGUGCCGGCCACCUGUCCCCAGCCCUGGCGUUACACGGCGGCAGCUGUGCUGGGGAACCAGAUUUUCAUUAUGGGGGGAGAUACAGAGUUCUCCGCCUGCUCUGCUUAUAAAUUCAACAGUGAGACUUACCAGUGGACCAAGGUGGGAGACGUGACAGCGAAGCGCAUGAGCUGUCACGCUGUGGCCUCCGGAAACAAACUCUACGUGGUGGGAGGGUACUUUGGCAUUCAGCGAUGCAAAACUUUGGACUGCUACGACCCAACGUUGGAUGUGUGGAACAGCAUAACCACAGUCCCGUACUCCCUGAUACCGACUGCGUUUGUCAGCACCUGGAAGCACCUGCCUUCUUAAACGCAGUACAUCUUACAGAAAGUGAGCUCGAGGUAAGAAGCCAGUUAAGCUUUAUCUCCUCCAGCCUAUUCCAGUUAGUAGCGUUCUUAGCAAUGUAAUGUUUCCUCGGAAUGAAACUCCUUCAGAGGCGCAGGAACAGCCAGGAGCCUCUCUGGGGAGCGACUUGGCUAACAGCGCCGCACACCAAACUGGUUUUUGCAGCCUUGCUGGCAUCUCAGUAAUCCUGAAUAAACAAAUGCU